GGGCCCGUAGCUCAACGGGAUAGAGCAAUAGCCUUCUAAGCUAUAGGUUGCGCGUUCGAGUCGCGCCGGGCUCACGA
rnacentral:tRNA from 1 species